AAUAGGAGAAUGACAAAUUGGAUUUUUCUUCUUGAUUUUCAAUUUUUUUUCCUCCUCAAAAAAUUCAAAUCCAGCUAAAAACACUAAAAAUCAGAAGGAAAAAUCUGAUUUAUCAUUCUCCUAUU
rfam:Gossypium raimondii Chr01_contig_62, whole genome shotgun sequence.